UCAGCUUUAUGUGCUCAAAAAAAAUCCACAUUUGUCACCUACAAAGACAAGGUAAUGGCUCACCCAAAGAUAAUCCUGUCUGUCCUGCCUUGUACACAAAGGAGGGUGACAUAGUGUUUGUGUAACAUCAGUUGACAAUCUUUCAAGAAGAAAAUAAAAUUAAGAAAGUCACAAGGAAACUGUCAUUUCCUAACACUGCAGAUAAGUUGCAGCAUAGCUUCUCUGCCUUCGUUAAAAGCUGUUAUGUGUAGUAUUUUUGCCUCCCUGUUUCAGUCUUUGACUCUUUCAUUUUCAUCUUCAGUAUAUAUUUGGUUCCUUCUCCUCCUGCUGUCAAGCGUAACAUUUCUUAACCAAAUAGAGCAAAAGUCGACCAGCAUCCUUCAAAAUAAAACUCUGUUUACAACUGUAAUCAUCAGCCUUGAGAGUAAACUGCAUUUUACUGCAUAUUAAUGAAGCAAAUUUUUCACCCAUCUAUUUCCUGGGGAUAAUUGAAGGCACCACUAUAGGAGAGGGGAUACAGUGUCUCUUGCUCAAAAGGGACAGGAGAAGCUACAAAAUUCUGAACUGUAUCUUCUGAGUGAUCUGCUACACUGUGCUGCCCGUGAAGAUUUAGAAGAGUAUUUUUAAGUGGCAAUGUCGGAUGUCUCUUGGAAGAUAAACUAGAUACAAUGUAGGUACAUCUUUUAAGAGUCAGAGGAUAUGAUACAAUGCUAAAAUACUUGUUCAUUGUUUACCUGGAGACAUGGCGUUUACAAGAACAAGUCGACAGGCAACAUCACAGACAAAUUCUCUAUGCAACUGCUUUGCUGUAAGAUGAGUAAAACAAGUGCUCUUUUGCAGGUAGUGCUACAAAAUCCUUAGAAGGCAGUUGGUCCAAUGGUAAAUGAUGAGACCCUCAAUAUGUGCUUCAGGACAACUGAAAAUGAAAACAAAGCCCUCAAAAAAAAAAAAAAAAGUUGUUGAAGUUGUCCUAUCUUUCUGAAUUUCUUGGAAAAAAAACAAAGAGGAGGAGAGAAAUUGUGUGUGAGAAGUGUGAUUUCUGCUGUCUGUAUCCCCAUGGCUACUAGAAACAGCUAGAAAGGGAAUUGGGCACAGCACAGCACACAAAAUGUCAGGUUAACAAAUUCCAACACAACAGCUCAGACAAACAGACGCUUGCUUUCUCCCACCUUCAUCCUCCCAUAUCACACUAAAACAAAGGGGAAAAAAAGUCAACAGAAAACUAGCCAAAGUCAUGUAAGGGAAUCAAAUAUGUCCUUCAGAAAGGUAAACCUCUCUAAAAAUAGGAUGAAAGCCUAAGCAAGUCACUUGUUUUCACUCCUAGCAGUAAUAAAGGGUCCUUGUAAGGGUUUCGCACAAGUCCUGUGCUGUUACAGUAGCAUCUGUCUCCUCAUUGCUAGAAAGAAAUGGUGAAGAAGAUUUAAAGAAUGUGUAACCUGAGAGAGAAAUCAUCUGUCACUCCCUCACAGGGCAACAGCAAACCUUCCCUCUCCUGGGAGAAGGAACAGCCACUCUCCUUCACCUACCUCUUGUGAUUACAGCUUUAAACAUUAUUAUAAUACACAUGCUUAUCACAAAGUUACAGAAUGGUUGGGGUUGGAAGGGACCUCUGGAGAUCAAGUAGUCCAACCCCUCUGUUAAAGCAGGUUCACCUACAGCAGGUUGCACAGGAUUGCAUCCAGGCAAGUUUUGAAUGUCUCCAGGGAAGGAGACUGCACAGACUCUCUGGGCAGCCUGUUCCAGUGCUCUGUCACCCUCAAAGUAAUAUGAAUAAUACUGAUAAUCAGAAAAAAUCUACCUCUAUUAAGAAAAGGUAAGAGAAGGCCGGCUGAAAAGCAAACAUUCUGUGCAAUCCACAGGGUGAACCCAGUAGCAAAGAAGAGGUCAAGCAACAAACAGAUCCUCUCUGUGAAAGGGAUGAUCCCUUUGCUUCACCCAAGUAAAACUGCUAUCACAAGCUAUACUUCUCACAGUCAAGAUACGGAGCAACAAAACAGAAAACGAUGGUCCAUUUUGGAAGAUAAUAUCCCAGGAGAGGACAUAGCAUGCAAUUUCUUGUGCCACUACUGCGCAGUCUUUGUUGGUGAUUCAGUUAUCCACCCUUGUGGUGAUGCAAGUCGAGGCGGACUGAAAAACACUAUGUCUAUGUGGCUGGGUUCUGACAAAAUGGCAAAAUGGCCUUUAUUGUUUAUACAAAUUGCUUAUAUAUCUUAGAUAGUACAUGUGUCAGACCCUGAUAGGCUUUCUGUAUUCUUCUUGUUUGCUAUUUGCUGUUGCUGUAGGUGCCCGUAUGCUGCAGUUCUAAGUUCUGGUUCUUCACAUACUGUUUACAUACCUGACAAUUUAUGGCUGUCUUAAAGGUACACAACUAAGUCUUUAAAGUCAACUAACUCAUCUGCAGACCCACUGCAGACCCCAACACGCCCUUUAAUGGGAGAAAGUGUGGUGGGAAAAAUAAAUCCCAAGACAGUCAGAUGAUACUAAUGGACAACAUGGAGGUACGCUACCUCAGAGAUCAAUGAGGUUUUUAGUAUUCCCUGCUUCUUGUUUUUUCUUUCCCAGAUGAGAAGGUAGAAAUGUCAACAUAAGUGCAGAAAAAUAGCAAAGAUGACCCAUUUCAAAGAGGUAAAAUGCUGCGAAUCAGCACAUCACUUGUAUCUUGUGAGUCUCUGCUUCAUCCAAAAGCAAGAUAUUAAUGAUCAGCUUACUGAAAUAUCUCAUUCAUCUUCAAGACAGCAGCUUCUGUGUCCCACUAAGAUCAAAACUCAAAGGGCCUGGAAGCUACUACCUCUUAUAAAUAACUGUCAAAAUACCAUAGCAUGAGCUAAAAAUGCUGUUGCACACAUCUGUACCACAUGAUGCAUUGAUGCUCCACUUCUAGAUUACAACCACUUCCAGAUUACAUCUCUUCUAUGGACACAGAGAAUGUUCACAAAGUUUUAAAAGGAGAGAAAGAAGGCCCUGCAAGAAGGUGAUUUAUGUAAGAGAGCACCAUCAUGAACCUUUUCAGGAAGGAGAAACAGUACAAACAUCCAAGGAAAAAAUAUAUGCUCAUGAUGAACAUAAAUUCAGAUGUGCAGAAUAUUAAAAAAAAUAAUGUAAGUUUCUAUAACAUGGGUUAGUCCAAUAAAACUAUUUUUUUUGCAAAUAAUGUUUUAAAUUAUAGGAAUAAACUUUUUCACAUUACCAUACGUAAGAUUAUGAACAAGGUCAUAAGAAGGAAUAUCUAAAAGAGAAUUGUAAGAAGUUGUGGUACACUGGUAAUGGCAGGGAAAAUCACUUCCCUUAGGAAUAUGCCAGUGAGUCUUUCUUUAGUAAAAAAUCUCUCCAGAAGACAGAGGAUACAAAAGAUGAUAUUACAAAAGAUAAACUCAAAUUUUCAAUCUGACAUUUACCUAAGAGAAGCCCAGACACAGCAGAAGUGAAUGCUUCUGGACAAGCUAAAACAUCCAUUCUCUUAAGAAGUUUAGCAUAGGUAACAAGAGUAGAGGUUUCCUUCCUGCAGUCCUCCCUUCAGGCAACUAAAGAGAGAAAGAGAAAGUACAGGAGAAUUCAGUAUUUGGGUCUGAUUCAGGCCACGAGCUACAUGGAAAUAUUCAUUUUAGUGCCAAUAAAUUCGUUUUGUGUAUAUCUGUUUAUUAACAACUGGACUUGGGCUGUUAAACUCAUUUCAUCAGUGGGAAAACAGUACUACAGAAUAAUGACUUUUAUUUACAGAUAUUCUCCUUGGCUGGAUUCAGAUCAUGACCUAAACCUCAGAAGAUAUCUCAUUUACCAAUCAUGUAAAUGGAAUAAUUGUUUUCUAAUGAAAUAUUGACAAUAAACAGCUGACACAACCCUGCUCCUUUUCUGCUACUAGUUAUGGACUUUCUCAGCCAGAAAUUUCCAUUUGGGAGGUUGGCAGGAAAAGACCUAACUUGCCAUUUGAGCAUCACUGCUAUAAAAUUCUUCCCACUCACUGUUUACCCAGAAAUACAUCACUCCUUUACAAACCUCUGACUUUUAAACCCAUCUCACUGUGCACUAACAGCUCUGAAACAAAUUCUAAGAGCAUAAGAAAAAAAAAAACCCAACAGAUUCAUUAAAGAAUAACUAUCAAAAUUUGUGUUACCACAGGAUUCCAACUGCUAAAACUGAAGUCAAAUUUCCCCAAAAGCUGUUUACUCUGAUCUAAAUGCUUUGACUGCUGUCCUACCAGCAGCCUAGUAUAAAUGGGAAUAAGUAAUGAAGUCAUGUUUCUGCUGUGCUAGUUUUUCUGGAAUAUAACCCCUGUGGUAAUAAUUACAUGGGUUUAUCCAUCCCAGUGUGAACAACACCAGAGUGUCAAUUAUGUGGGUACAAGUGUCUGUUGUAAAGAAAACCAGCUGUUUCCAUUCUCUUAACCUUGGGGUCAGGCUUCCCACUGGGACUAACAGCUUUUUUUCCUGCUGUAAAUAUCCAUUUGAGAGUUGCUAGGAGGUGUUAUGAUAUACAGACCUACUCUUUCAGCACUAGUUUUUUUCUUGUUUGGUCAUCUAAGCCUAACUCUCAUCAGGGGUUUGCACAGAAACACCUAUUGCUAGUUUUCAUUUAUAUUAAUUCCUUUGGGUGAUACUGCUCAAGACACUUCACUUUCUUUUCCACACCAUUUGCAACACAAGCUGGAGAGUCCCCAAAGCCCACUAGUAGCAUGGACUAUUAGUGACCUACUUCUAGUCUCUGGGGUAUCUCUUGUAGCCAUUCGCUAUUUCCAGCUAUUGAGCCAAUUAUCAGAGGAGCUGUACAUAAAAAUGGAACCACUAAGCUUUGAUCCUAGGAAUAAAGACUUCUUUCAGGCGAGCCAAAGAAUUGUCCAUUGCAUGGAUUGUGAAGAAGUAAUGGAACCUAAAAGGCCUGAACCAGUCUGAUAUACUCCAUCUGGCAGAGGGA